UACGUAGGGUGCGAGCGUUGUCCGGAAUUACUGGGCGUAAAGAGCUCGUAGGUGGUUUGUCGCGUUGUUCGUGAAAACCUGAGGCUUAACCUUGGGCGUGCGGGCGAUACGGGCAGACUGGAGUACUGCAGGGGAGACUGGAAUUCCUGGUGUAGCGGUGAAAUGCGCAGAUAUCAGGAGGAACACCGGUGGCGAAGGCGGGUCUCUGGGCCGAUACUGACGCUGAGGAGCGAAAGCGUGGGGAGCAAACCGG
rnacentral:rRNA from 1 species